rnacentral:rRNA from 1 species
GACGAACGCUGGCGGCGUGCUUAACACAUGCAAGUCGAACGGAAAGGCCCGCAUCAUUUUUGUGGUGGGGGUGCUCGAGUGGCGAACGGGUGAGUAACACGUGGGUGAUCUGCCCUGUACUUCGGGAUAAGCUUGGGGAACUGGGUCUAAUACCGGAUAGGACCAUGGUUUAGUGUCUCAUGGUGGAAAGAUUAUUGUUUUGGUGCAGGAUGAGCUCGCGGCCUAUCAGCUUGUUGGUGGGGUAAUGGCCUACCAAGGCGUCGACGGGUAGCCGGCCUGAGAGGGUGGACGGCCACAUUGGGACUGAGAUACGGCCCAGACUCCUACGGGAGGCAGCAGUGGGGAAUAUUGCACAAUGGGCGCAAGCCUGAUGCAGCGACGCCGCGUGGGGGAUGACGGCCUUCGGGUUGUAAACUCCUUUCGUUAGGGACGAAGCCACAUUUUUUGGGUGUGGUGACGGUACCUUUGUUAAGAAGCACCGGCUAACUACGUGCCAGCAGCCGCGGUAAUACGUAGGGUGCGAGCGUUGUCCGGAAUUACUGGGCGUAAAGAGCUCGUAAGUGGUUUGUUGCGUCGUCUGUGAAGUUCCGGGGCUUAACUUCGGGGUGGCAGGCGAUACGGGCAUAACUAGAGUGCUGUAGGGGAGACUGGAAUUCCUGGUGUAGCGGUGGAAUGCGCAGAUAUCAGGAGGAACACCGAUGGCGAAGGCAGGUCUCUGGGCAGUAACUGACGCUGAGGAGCGAAAGCAUGGGGAGCGAACAGGAUUAGAUACCCUGGUAGUCCAUGCUGUAAACGGUGGGCGUUAGGUGUGGGGACCGGUUUGGUUUCUGUGCCGUAGCUAACGCAUUAAGCGCCCCGCCUGGGGAGUACGGCCGCAAGGCUAAAACUCAAAGGAAUUGACGGGGGCCCGCACAAGCGGCGGAGCAUGUGGAUUAAUUCGAUGCAACGCGAAGAACCUUACCUGGGUUUGACAUGCACCAGACGGUUGUAGAGAUACGUACCUCCCUUUGUGGUUGGUGUGCAGGUGGUGCAUGGUUGUCGUCAGCUCGUGUCGUGAGAUGUUGGGUUAAGUCCCGCAACGAGCGCAACCCUUGUCUUAUGUUGCCAGCACUUUGGGUGGGGACUCAUGAGAGACUGCCGGGGUUAACUCGGAGGAAGGUGGGGAUGACGUCAAAUCAUCAUGCCCUUUAUGCCCAGGGCUUCACACAUGCUACAAUGGUUAGUACAACGCGCUGCGAACCUGUGAGGGUGAGCGAAUCGCUGAAAGCUAAUCUCAGUUCGGAUUGGGGUCUGCAACUCGACCCCAUGAAGUCGGAGUCGCUAGUAAUCGCAGAUCAGCAAUGCUGCGGUGAAUACGUUCCCGGGCCU